rnacentral:tRNA from 4 species
CCGUUGGUCAAGGGGUUAAGACACCGCCUUUUCACGGCGGUAACACGGGUUCGAAUCCCGUACGGACUA